UUAAGCGACUAAGCGUACACGGUGGAUGCCCUGGCAGUCAGAGGCGAUGAAGGGCGUGCUAAUCUGCGAUAAGCGCCGGUAAGGUGAUAUGAACCGUUAUAACCGGCGAUACCCGAAUGGGGAAACCCAGUGUGAUUCGUCACACUAUCAUUAACUGAAUCCAUAGGUUAAUGAGGCGAACCGGGGGAACUGAAACAUCUAAGUACCCCGAGGAAAAGAAAUCAACCGAGAUUCCCCCAGUAGCGGCGAGCGAACGGGGAGGAGCCCAGAGCCUGAAUCAGCAUGUGUGUUAGUGGAAGCGUCUGGAAAGGCGCGCGAUACAGGGUGACAGCCCCGUACACAAAAGCGCAUGUGCUGUGAGCUCGAUGAGUAGGGCGGGACACGUGGUAUCCUGUCUGAAUAUGGGGGGACCAUCCUCCAAGGCUAAAUACUCCUGACUGACCGAUAGUGAACCAGUACCGUGAGGGAAAGGCGAAAAGAACCCCGGCGAGGGGAGUGAAAAAGAACCUGAAACCGUGUACGUACAAGCAGUGGGAGCCCCACCACUAAGCCAGUGGUGAACUCCACAUCCGCAUCCUUUGCUGAGGAUACGGUUAACGGAGCGAAAGCGACGUUCAACCGCAAAACAAGCAGAGGGGGCUUAGUGGUGGGGUGACUGCGUACCUUUUGUAUAAUGGGUCAGCGACUUAUAUUCUGUAGCAAGGUUAACCGUAUAGGGGAGCCGGAGGGAAACCGAGUCUUAAUUGGGCGUUAAGUUGCAGGGUAUAGACCCGAAACCCGGUGAUCUAGCCAUGGGCAGGUUGAAGGUUGGGUAACACUAACUGGAGGACCGAACCGACUAAUGUUGAAAAAUUAGCGGAUGACCUGUGGCUGGGGGUGAAAGGCCAAUCAAACCGGGAGAUAGCUGGUUCUCCCCGAAAGCUAUUUAGGUAGCGCCUCGUGAAUUCAUCUCCGGGGGUAGAGCACUGUUUCGGCUAGGGGGCCAUCCCGGCUUACCAACCCGAUGCAAACUGCGAAUACCGGAGAAUGUUAUCACGGGAGACACACGGCGGGUGCUAACGUCCGUCGUGAAGAGGGAAACAACCCAGACCGCCAGCUAAGGUCCCAAAGUCAUGGUUAAGUGGGAAACGAUGUGGGAAGGCCCAGACAGCCAGGAUGUUGGCUUAGAAGCAGCCAUCAUUUAAAGAAAGCGUAAUAGCUCACUGGUCGAGUCGGCCUGCGCGGAAGAUGUAACGGGGCUAAACCAUGCACCGAAGCUGCGGCAGCGAACGUAUCACCCAAGACAACUUUACGGAGUUGACGAUUGACGGAGCGAAGCGACGUCAAAGCGUUCAUUAAAGUCGAGUUGGCUUAGGGAUACGUUCGUUGGGUAGGGGAGCGUUCUGUAAGCCUGUGAAGGUGUGUCGUGAGGCAUGCUGGAGGUAUCAGAAGUGCGAAUGCUGACAUAAGUAACGAUAAAGCGGGUGAAAAGCCCGCUCGCCGGAAGACCAAGGGUUCCUGUCCAACGUUAAUCGGGGCAGGGUGAGUCGACCCCUAAGGCGAGGCCGAAAGGCGUAGUCGAUGGGAAACGGGUUAAUAUUCCCGUACUUGGUGUUACUGCGAAGGGGGGACGGAGAAGGCUAUGUUGGCCGGGCGACGGUUGUCCCGGUUUAAGCGUGUAGGUGUGUGUUCCAGGUAAAUCCGGUUCACUUUAACACUGAGGCGUGACGACGAGGCACUACGGUGCUGAAGCAACAAAUGCCCUGCUUCCAGGAAAAGCCUCUAAGCAUCAGGUAACAUCAAAUCGUACCCCAAACCGACACAGGUGGUCAGGUAGAGAAUACCAAGGCGCUUGAGAGAACUCGGGUGAAGGAACUAGGCAAAAUGGUGCCGUAACUUCGGGAGAAGGCACGCUGACACGUAGGUGAAGUGAUUUACUCAUGGAGCUGAAGUCAGUCGAAGAUACCAGCUGGCUGCAACUGUUUAUUAAAAACACAGCACUGUGCAAACACGAAAGUGGACGUAUACGGUGUGACGCCUGCCCGGUGCCGGAAGGUUAAUUGAUGGGGUCAGCGCAAGCGAAGCUCCUGAUCGAAGCCCCGGUAAACGGCGGCCGUAACUAUAACGGUCCUAAGGUAGCGAAAUUCCUUGUCGGGUAAGUUCCGACCUGCACGAAUGGCGUAAUGAUGGCCAGGCUGUCUCCACCCCGAGACUCAGUGAAAUUGAACUCGCUGUGAAGAUGCAGUGUACCCGCGGCAAGACGGAAAGACCCCGUGAACCUUUACUAUAGCUUGACACUGAACAUUGAGCCUUGAUGUGUAGGAUAGGUGGGAGGCUUUGAAGUGUGGACGCCAGUCUGCAUGGAGCCGACCUUGAAAUACCACCCUUUAAUGUUUGAUGUUCUAACGUGGACCCGUAAUCCGGGUUGCGGACAGUGUCUGGUGGGUAGUUUGACUGGGGCGGUCUCCUCCUAAAGAGUAACGGAGGAGCACGAAGGUUGGCUAAUCCUGGUCGGACAUCAGGAGGUUAGUGCAAUGGCAUAAGCCAGCUUGACUGCGAGCGUGACGGCGCGAGCAGGUGCGAAAGCAGGUCAUAGUGAUCCGGUGGUUCUGAAUGGAAGGGCCAUCGCUCAACGGAUAAAAGGUACUCCGGGGAUAACAGGCUGAUACCGCCCAAGAGUUCAUAUCGACGGCGGUGUUUGGCACCUCGAUGUCGGCUCAUCACAUCCUGGGGCUGAAGUAGGUCCCAAGGGUAUGGCUGUUCGCCAUUUAAAGUGGUACGCGAGCUGGGUUUAGAACGUCGUGAGACAGUUCGGUCCCUAUCUGCCGUGGGCGCUGGAGAACUGAGGGGGGCUGCUCCUAGUACGAGAGGACCGGAGUGGACGCAUCACUGGUGUUCGGGUUGUCAUGCCAAUGGCACUGCCCGGUAGCUAAAUGCGGAAGAGAUAAGUGCUGAAAGCAUCUAAGCACGAAACUUGCCCCGAGAUGAGUUCUCCCUGAGACUUUAGGUCUCCUGAAGGAACGUUGAAGACGACGACGUUGAUAGGCCGGGUGUGUAAGCGCAGCGAUGCGUUGAGCUAACCGGUACUAAUGAACCGUGAGGCUUAACCUU
rnacentral:rRNA from 1 species